AGCCUUCGACGGGAAUCGAACCCGUGUCUUCUGCAUAAAAGCAGAUGUCUUUCCGACUCGACCACGAAGGC